GCUGGAGUGGCGGAGUGGACAAUCGCACCAGACUGUAAAUCUGGCGCCCGGACGGGCUACAUAGGUUCGAAUCCUGUCUCCAGCA
rnacentral:tRNA from 1 species